UGCAGAUGCCAGACGUAUUAUCAACCCAAGAAGGCUGCCUUUUCCCCAGGAACUGAACACAGCACCUGAUAACCAACCACUGCACCACCACCUCAGGUGAGCUGUUUUGAGGAGACAAUGCAGACGUCCCACAUUAUCCACUUUCUCCACCACGGCAAGGAAGUUCUGCAGAGAUAUGCACUCUGUUGGCAAACGCCUGGGGCAAAUAGAAGAGAAUAACAUUUCAAAGAUGAUGUGAAACAACUGUUUUGUACAUUAAAAAUCUAGAGAAGAGAACACUGAAAUGUUAGAAAGAAGAAAGGGGUGGAUGGUCCCUGUGCUCUGGCACGGAAGGAGGCUCUUUGACUGAUCUCUGCCAAGAUCUCCAUUAGGAGGUUUGUGUUUCCUUCUAACAUUAAAGAAUACCUCUAACAUCUGUAGCGAUGAACGGUGAAGAGUGUCAGUUCUGCUUCUGAAACAAGCGAUGCCGCCAUUUGAAGGAGGAAAAAUGUGAAAUAAUGAAUAUGCCUUUGGAGAGCAGUCUGUUGUAUAACAGAAAAUGUGCAAAGUCUCUUGCUAGGUUUGAUCUUCUGAGUUUCUUCUGUACACCUGCAUGGAGUGCAGCUAAUUACACAAAACUUGGUCAAUGGGAAAAGUAUCGCCCAGGGAUGCUGAACCCAAAUAGAAAGUGUCACAGAGCGCAUUGAAAGGACUUUAUCCUAUCUUUCCUUCCUUCCUAGUAUCAGGAAGGAGAUAAAGGGAUCACAUUAAAACUGGAGCAGCCACGACUUGAAAUACUAUUUGCUUUUUUUUCCAUGAAGGUUCUGAGAAAGAAGAAAGGAAUGCUACGUUCACUGGGGAUUUGGGCAGUGCGUGAUCACUUUUCUUCUCCACAAUCGCUUUCUGUGUGACUUGGGCCCCUCUGUGCUUCAUUUCCCUAUCGGUAAAGGCAAGCAGGAGCAUUUCUUGAUGUUUUAAUAACCAUCAAUAAACAGGUGGGCAUGCUAAUGAUUGCAAAAUGCUCAGUCAUUAUAAUAAAGGGAGGCAUGUACAACCAUCGCAGGGCAAUAAAAGUAAUGUCUGCAGGAGUUUACUGGAACCACAGUACAGAGCGCCACAGAUCCUGGAUAAUAGAAUGGCCAAUAUUUUAUCAUUGCAAGUAUCUUUUAAAAAAAAAAAAAAUCCCCAGGUCUAAUCUAUAACCAAGAAAUGUAAUAGGAUCUGCAAAAGUUCCAAGGCCAAGAGAAUUCACAAACAACAUUUUCAGGCAAAGUGAUCUCAUCUCAAGUAGAAAACACAAACAGUCCAUGGUAGGUGUUUUAAACUGUCUAAAUGAUGUCUAACACUCAGAGACACGGCGGGUAAACACUUAAUCUGCCUAAAACUGUAGAAGAUACUUAGCGUGAAGGUUUUUACAAAUAUUUCAGAUAUUCUCAAGUUUUACGUGAAAAAUUUCCUGCAAUUAUGCAUAGAAACAUGUCUUUCUUAAUCUAGGCAGGAUGUCCUGCCACUUUUACAAGUAAGAACGAACACAGACUUCAAUGAUACUCCAUCUUAAAAAUAAUAAAAAUUAGAAAACCAUUUUUUUACAGUUUUCAAAAAAAAACUUCAAGUGUACUUAAAAAAAACCUGAAGUUUUCUUAAAACCUGAUUCCUAAUACUCAUGUCAAAGACAGAGGCUGAAAACCACAGUGCUUAACAAGAAAGAUAAUAAACUGCUUGGUACUCAACCUUAACUGCAAUGAAGGGGGAGAAAUCAGUGUUAAUCUUGCUACUCAGUCCUUAAUUAAUUUUAUAUUUUGCUUAGCUUUUCCUUUUUCAGCUUGUAUAUAAUUUUAUAUGUAAGAUAUGCAUGGUUUUACAUUUAUUAUCUGCAUAUAUGCUCACUCCAAAUUGCUAAUUCAUCCUUAAUUUUUUUGGUUAAAGUUACACGCUUAAUGUUAUUUUAACAUAAGGCUUUUUCGUAAUGUAAUGAUAUUUAAUUUGCAUUAGCACAAGUGACAUACAAUAGAUCAUGCUAUUAUCAUGAUUGAUAUCAGAUGAACUGGCAUAAAUUCAACGUUAUAAAUUGAGCCUAUAAAUGAAACUAUUAUUUUACAGGAAUUACUGUAGUAGAAAGGCUAAGGACCCUCAAGUCAACCUUAGUCAAACCCACUCUUUAGAGUUUUAUAUUUUAUGCCUGCAAUAAAUGCUUUUGUGAAAGCCCAUAACCUGCAAAAAAAAAGUCAUUGGAAGUCUAUUAAUUAUAAUAAUACUAUCCAAAAAGCUGUGAGGGCUUAUUUUUGUGACAUCACUCUUUGAUUUCUUACUGCCUUAAAUUAUCCCUUUGUUGGCUGGGUGAGGGUAACAGUCAUACUUUUGUCAUUAAAUAUAAGGAGUUUUAAAGCCUGAUCCACCUUAGCUCUAAUUGAUAUUGCUUUCAUUUGGCAGAUAGUGACCUGAUUUAUAAUUUAAAUAUGCAUCAUUAUAUGCACCUCUUCUGUAUAAUGAAAAAGCAAAGUUACUCUCAUCUUUUCCCGCAAUGUUAACAUCAAGGAAAAGUAUCUUUCUUUUUUCCUUUUAUACCCAGAGCCUAAUUGAAAACUGUUCAUUGAAUUUCAACAUGAUAGAAAAGUCUUUUUAUCUCUCAAUUUGUCCAUUAGCUAUUAUAAUUGAAGUAUCUGCUACACAGCUGAAUUGAUAUUGUUCUUGUUUAAAUUCUGGAUUUCUCUAAAUCUUCUAUGAGGCAUCAACUAAAAAAAUAUGGGUUAGGAGACAUUAGCUAACAAUAUUGCCUAAAUGGGACAUUAGACGAGCACUCCACAUGUGUAAAGCUACAGAAAGUAGGAAGUCAUCUAAUUUUACUGGAGAACGUGUUGCAUAAUAAUCUUAACAGCAUGACCAUAAGGUUUGCUAAUUGCCACAUCUGUUUAACAGCUGUCAGAUGUUUGCCAUAUGCUGCCAUCAAUAUUACAACAGAGUACAUUACAGGGAGUUUUAUUGUGUUCGACUGUUAUUUAUUUGCCACAGACAUUACCACAGCCAGUGACGUCUAUUUAUGUUAGAUCACUAAUUAUAUUUUUAAAGCUGCAUGCAAAACCUAGUUUUUUUAGCUUCCCUAGACCCCAUUUCUGAUGAUGUAACUAAUAACUUUUUCCCCACAGAUCUCUGAACCGAUUUGUAAAUUCCUAUCUCGUUAGGGUAAAUAAUUUUUCUGCAAAAUAAUUUAUUUGUGCUGGUUUUGAAGGAUGUUUCUAAAUCCAAGUUGGGUUUUAAUGGUGAUGUUUGUAAGAACUUCUUUAUCAAAAAACCCACUUCAUUCCAAGUGUUUAUUCACCAGGACACAGGUUAGGGAUAGGAGAUAAUUCAGUUUUAGAGCUCAGAAGGUUGGAUACCCCAAUUCUAUUCACAAAUCUGCCACUGACUUGCUCUGCGACCUUGAUUCAUUUUAUGAGCUUAAUUCUGAUUUGCUGAUCUGUAAGCUAAAAACCUUCUGUACAACUGUACCAUCAAAACUCAUUCAUUAAACGUCGCCAAAAAGUAAAAGCUAAUAGAGUACUACUGCUAUUAAAGGAUCUAAAUAUGGCUGAUCUUUGCUGUUCUUUUAGUCAUUCUUUCAGAGAUUUUUUAAAUUCCUUCUUUCAACCAGUCUGUGCGUUACUUUUCCGUUAAAUGCAGCUACUAAAGCAAUGAAAUAGGAAGCAGAGAUUGACAAAGUGCAGACGAGGCAAAAUAUGCAUGAUGUGAUUUAAUAUGAGUUGAUAGGUGUCACCGAUCUCUAUUAUAAAUAGACUGUGCGAAUUCCAUAUGAUGUAUUAUUUAUCUAUUGUAGAUGCCUUUUUGUUUCAUUAAUAAACCUGGAAAUCAGACGUAUACGUUUCCAAUGACGAGGGUUUGGCAAUACAAGGCAUUGUGGCAUUUGUCUGCAAUUGCUCAAUUAUUUUCAUUAUUUUCUUCUUCUUUCUCCAUAAAUGAUUAAUGUUUGAGAUGUUUGUUCAAGAUUAUUCUGAUUCUAGCUCAUUCGUCCAGCUGAAUUCUUUUUUUUUUCUUCUCUAAUGAGAGAAGAUUACGGCAGUGUAAGGACUUCCACAUUGACCUGUAUUCUGGUUCUUCUGAGAUGCUGCACUGGAGCACACAGCAUAGGUCCUCUGACUUAGGUUUAUGCUCAGCUGUGAGGUCUAAGAACUCUUGAAAAUCUCAGUUUGAAUUUCCCUCAAAGCCGAAACUCUUAAGCUGUUGUUCCACCUACAGUUUAGAAUGUUUCCCUGGUAUUUCUAUGCUCCAGAAAGCUAAGAAAAUACAUUGCUGCUUAUUUGGAUAGGAAAGGGUUUGAAUUUUUCAAAUUUCUGAAGAGUACAGCAAGCAACAGCUAGUAUCUUCCCUUCACUCCUUCUGAAGAUGCUCAAGCGAAGAUAUCCUUGAAGACAUCAAAGGGUAAAGAAUUUAAAAUAAAAGGCAAAGCUGGGGAUUGUUUCAGGAGCCACACUGUCAAGCCUCGAGUACUCUACAAUGGGUGAGGUUGGCAGGAGGGGUCAGUGAAGGAGGACAAUGGGGCUGAGUUCAGCCAACACGUGCCUAGGGGAGAAGGAGGUGCUCAACCCCCAUGAGAAAUCAAACUGCCUAACAAGA